rnacentral:lncRNA from 1 species
UAUGUUUUUUUUGUUUUUCUUUUUUUAUAAAAAUAAUACUAUUAUUUACAGAGGAUCUAUUAAAUUGAUCUAAAUUUUUAUUUUUAUUUAAUUUUUUUUAUAAAAAUAAUACUAUUAUUUACAGAGGAUCUAUUAAAUUGAUCUAAAUUGAAAUUAAUAAAAUUAAUUCAUUAAAUUGAAUUGAAAAUGUAAAUAAUUCUCCUUCAAAUCAAUUCUGUUCUUUUGAACUUUCUGUUCUUAAACUUUGCGUUUAAUUGCCUUGAGUGUUUUUGUAGCUCCCAGUCCGGUCACCCUGCUGCCAGUGCAGAGGACAUCAGCGUCUCUCAGCGUGCGCUGGAGGGCCGGCCGGGGGGUCUGUGACUCAUUCAUCCUGUCCAUCAGAAACUCAACCUUCAUCCUGCAGACCAGUCAGAGUGUGUCUGAUGACAGGUGCGGAUUUAGAUCAGUUAUCUGCCCUGAAGAUUCAUUCUUUAUAUGAGAGAGGAUUGAACUGUGGCUUUCUCUCUUUUUAGAACAUAUCGCUUUGACGACCUGUUGCCUGGAAGUGUGUAUACUGUUGAAGUGAGCAGUGUUAGCGGAGACAGGCGAAGUUUACCUGCUGCUGUAAAUGUUAACACACUUCCAGAACCUCCUGACGACCUCACUUUUAUUGAACAGGAAGUGAGCAGCAUGUAUGUGAUGUGGACACACCCACCGGGCAACGUGGAUGGUUACAGGGUAGGGUGACUUUUCGUUUAUCCAAUCAGCAUCGAGAUCCACAUACUGUACUGUAGGGAUUUGGUCAUCGCAUAUGAUAGUGUAUUUUAACAUUCGAUUUUUGCUUGUUUGUUUACUUGAUUUAGCAAAUGAAUAGAAAUUGAUUGAAGCGGUUAUUUGGAAUGAGUUAUAGGAAUACUUUGUGUGUAUUGUAAGCAUGACUAGACUAGUAUCAGGGCCUUUGGACACCUGUUAAAACUUUCAUACUGACCGUCUCAGCUGAAAUGUAGCCUAGCAACACCCCCAUGUGCUCGGGUUUCUGCCUCUCUCAUAAUACAUGAGCGCCAAUCCUUCAUUAUACCUUACAAACAGAAGGAAGGUAUUUGAGUGUUUGAUGUAAAGAUGCUUUUUGUGCAAUGCAAAGUCCCUCGGAAUAACCUGGGCUAAAAUGACUUCUCAAAGGGCAAUGGUAAUGAUCUUCCCACUUCCAAAAAUAUACAGUAGUAAAAACUGAAAUAUUAUUACAAUUUAAAAUAACUAUUUACUAUUUGAAUAUAUUUUAAAUAUAAUUUAUUUCUGUGAUGCAAAGCUGAAUUUCCAGCAUCAUUACUCCAGUCUUCAGUGUCACAUGAUCCUUCAGAAAUCAUUCUAAUAUGCUGAUUAUACAUUAAUAUACAUAACAUUAAUGUAUUUGCUGUCACUUCUAGUCAAUUAAAAUGCAUUCUUGCUUAUUUUAUUUCUGUUGCCUUCUUCUUAUUCAAUCCUCUUUAGCUUCAGUAUGGCUUUGCGGGUGACCUCCCUCUGCAGCACCGGGUUGAUCUUCAUGGCAACAGUGUCAGGAUUCAUGACCUGACCCCAGGAAGUGAUUACAGGUUUGAGAUCCAGUCCUUCCUGGGGUCAGAUUUCAGCCACACCACAUCCCAAAACAUCUCUACUAGUAAGAAUCUACCAGUCAAUAUUUCUGAUUCUGUUCUUAGUGAUGCUUUCU